rnacentral:rRNA from 1 species
GACAGAGGAGGCGAGCGUUGAUCGGAAUCACUGGGCUUAAAGCGCCCGCGGGCGGCCCGUUAAGCGUGUUGUGAAGUCCCACGGCUUAACCGUGGAACUGCAUGGUGAACUGUCGAGCUUGAGUUUGGUAGAGGGGCCUGGAACUCUAGGUGGAGCGGUGAAAUGCGUAGAUAUCUAGAGGAACGCCAGAGGCGAAGGCGGGGCACUGGAUCGAUUCUGACGAUGAGGUGCGAAAGCGUGGGGAGCAAACAGG